GACGAACCGUGCAAACGUUGUUCGGAAUCACUGGGCUUAAAGGGCGCGUAGGCGGGCAGGCAAGUCGGAGGUGAAAGCCCACGGCUCAACCGUGGAAGUGCCCCCGAUACUGCUAGUCUUGAGGGAGGUAGGGGCGUGCGGAACUUCCGGUGGAGCGGUGAAAUGCGUAGAUAUCGGAAGGAACACCGGUGGCGAAAGCGGCGCGCUGGACCUCUUCUGACGCUGAGGCGCGAAAGCCAGGGGAGCAAAGCGGGG
rnacentral:rRNA from 1 species